GUGCAGUUUGUUUUAUAGUAUAGUGGGGUGCAGUAUGGUAUUAUAGUAUAGUGGGGUGCAGUUUGUUAUUAUAGUAUAGUGGGGUGCAGUAUGUUGGUAUAGUGUAGUGGGGUGCAGUUUGUUUUAUAGUAUAGUGGGGUGCAGUAUAGUAUUAUAGUAUAGUGGGGUGCAGUUUGUUAUUAUAGUAUAGUGGGGUGCAGUAUGUUGGUACAGUGUAGUGGGGUGCAGUUUGUUUUAUAGUAUAGUGGGGUACAGUAUGGUAUUAUAGUAUAGUGGGGUGCAGUAUGUUGGUAUAGUGUAGUGGGGUGCAGUUUGUUUUAUAGUAUAGUGGGGUGCAGUAUGUUAUUAUAGUAUAGUGGGGGUGCAUUAUGGUAUUAUAGUAUAGUGGGGUGCAGUAUGUUAUUAUAGUAUAGUGGGGGUGCAGUAUGGUAUUAUAGUAUAGUGGGGUGCAGUGUGUUAUUAUAGUAUAGUGGGGGUGCAGUAUGGUAUUAUAGUAUAGUGGGGUGCAGUAUGUUAUUAUAUUAAAGCGGGGUGCAGUAUGUUAUUAUAUUAUAGAGGGGGUGCAGUAUGUUGGUAUAGAAUAGUGGGGUGCAGUUUGUUUUAUAGUAUAGUGGGGUGCAGUUUGUUAUUAUAGUAUAGUGGGGUGCAGUAUGUUGGUAUAGUGUAGUGGGGUGCAGUAUGGUAUUAUAGUAUAGUGGGGUGCAGUAUGGUAUUAUAGUAUAGUGGGGUGCAGUAUGUUGGUAUAGUGAAGUGGGGUGCAGUUUGUUUUAUAGUAUAGUGGGGUGCAGUAUGGUAUUAUAGUAUAGUGGGGUGCAGUUUGUUAUUAUAGUAUAGUGGGGUGCAGUUUGUUAUUAUAGUAUAGUGGGGGUGCAGUAUGGUAUUAUAGUAUAGUGGGGUGCAGAAUGGUAUUAUAGUAUAGUGGGGUGCAGUUUGUUAUUAUAGUAUAGUGGGGGUGCAGUUUGUUAUUAUAGUAUAGUGGGGGUGCAGUAUGGUAUUAUAGUAUAGUGGGGUGCAGUGUGUUAUUAUAGUAUAGUGGGGGUGCAGUAUGGUAUUAUAUUAAAGCGGGGUGCAGUAUGUUAUUAUAUUAUAGAGGGGGUGCAGUAUGUUGGUAUAGUAUAGUGGGGUGCAGUUUGUUUUAUAGUAUAGUGGGGUGCAGUUUGUUAUUAUAGUAUAGUGGGGUGCAGUAUGUUGGUAUAGUGUAGUGGGGUGCAGUUUGUUUUAUAGUAUAGUGGGGUGCAGUAUGGUAUUAUAGUAUAGUGGGGUGCAGUAUGGUGGUAUAGUGUAGUGGGGUGCAGUAUGGUAUUAUAUUAUAGUGGGGGUGCAGUAUGGUAUUAUAGUAUAGUGGGGGUGCAGUAUG